rnacentral:lncRNA from 1 species
AGGGUGAGUCUGUGGCCCUUCAGGUUCCUGGCGGGGUGGGCUGCCUAUCUGUUUUAGAAUGAGGAAUUUCUUUCUGGCAUGGAUGGGUGAGAUGGUGAGAGAGAGAAGGGCAAGGGAGAAGCCCUCUGCUCUUGAAGGGGAGGACAAAGAGGGAACUGCCCCUUGAUGAGGAAACAAACAGAGGCCCAAGGGAAGAGUGGCCAAGGAGAAAAGGAGCUUUUCUGAACAUAGUGCCGCUCCCUCCCCAGGAAUCCAGAAAUGCUCCCCUUUGUCAAAAAGUGUAAGUUCCCUACCUCUCCCUGACCCUGUGCCAU